rnacentral:rRNA from 1 species
GUCUUUUUGAGUUAUUUUUAAAGUCUGACCUGCCCACUGAAUUUUUAAAUGGCCGCAGUAUUCUAACUGUGCAAAGGUAGCAUAAUCAUUAGUCUUUUAAUUGAAGGCUGGUAUGAACGGUUGGACGAGGUAUAAGCUGUUUCAUGUAAAUUUGCAAUAGAAUUUUAUAUUUUAGUUAAAAAGCUAAAAUGAGGUUAAAAGACGAGAAGACCCUAUAAAUCUUUAUAUUUUAUAUAGUUUAAAUUUUUUUGAUUUCUUUUAUUUUUAUUAUAUGGAGUAUUUUGUUGGGGUGAUGUUAAAAUUUGAUUAACUUUUAAUUUAUUUUAAAUCAUUAAUUUAUGAUUUAUUGAUCCGUUAAUAGUGAUUAUAAGACUAAGUUACUUUAGGGAUAACAGCGUAAUUUUUUUGGAGAGUUCAUAUCGAUAAAAAAGUUUGCGACCUCGAUGUUGGAUUAAGAUAUAGUUUUAGGUGUAGCUGCUUAAAGGUUAAGUCUGUUCGACUUUUAAAUUCUU